ACGGGUGAGUAACGCGUGGAUGAUCUACCCUUGAGUUCGGGAUAACGGAACGAAAGAUCCGCUAAUACCGUAUAACAAUCCAUUUCAUCGUGGGUUCAAAGCAGGCCUCUUCGUGAAAGCUUGCGCUUGGGGAUGAGUCCGCGUCCCAUUAGCUUGUUGGCGGGGUAACGGCCCACCAAGGCAACGAUGGGUAGCUGGUCUGAGAGGAUGAUCAGCCACACUGGAACUGAAACACGGUCCAGACUCCUACGGGAGGCAGCAGUGGGGAAUAUUGCGCAAUGGGGGAAACCCUGACGCAGCGACGUCGUGUGAGGGAAGAAGGCCUUCGGGUCGUAAACCUCUGUCAGAAGGGAAGAACCGCCGGGAGUCGAAUAGCCUCUCGGCCUGACGGUACCUUCAAAGGAAGCGCCGGCUAACUCCGUGCCAGCAGCCGCGGUAAUACGGAGGGCGCAAGCGUUAAUCGGAAUUACUGGGCGUAAAGCGUGCGUAGGCUGUUUGAUAAGUCAGACGUGAAAUCCCUCGGCUCAACCGGGGAACUGCGUUUGAUACUGUUGGACUAGAGUCCUGGAGAGGGUGGCGGAAU
rnacentral:rRNA from 1 species